UACGUAGGGGGCAAGCGUUGUCCGGAUUUAUUGGGCGUAAAGAGCGUGUAGGCGGCUUCACAAGUCCGCUGUGAAACUCGAGGCUCAACCUCGAGCUGUCGGUGGAAACUGUGUGGCUAGAGUCCGGAAGAGGAGAGUGGAAUUCCCGGUGUAGCGGUGAAAUGCGCAGAUAUCGGGAAGAACACCCGUGGCGAAGGCGGCUACUCGUGGGACGGUACUGACGCUGA
rnacentral:rRNA from 1 species